rnacentral:rRNA from 1 species
AUGACAUAUUGUCUUGAACAUUCUACAAGGAAGUUGCUCCUGAUGCCUGUAGAAUCUUUUGAACCGAAUAAAUCAUGCUAUGUCUGCUCUGAGACCCCUCUUCUACUGGAUGUUAACACUAAGGCCACGAAGCUUAGGGAGGUCAUCGACAAGAUUAUAAGAAGCAAACUUGGAAUGAUCCUACCGUUGGUAAUGAUUGGCUCUACGCUUGUUUUUAAGGAUGGUGAUGGCAUAAAGGAAGAUGAGGCUGCAAACUAUGCUUUAAACCUUGAGAAUGUACUAUCCUGAUAGAGUCAUAAUGUUCCUUGUUCAAGUAUUAAUGGCACAAAGGAUUUUCGGCAGGAAUUGUCAUGCAGCAUUAACAUCAAGCACAGGGAAGAGUUUGACGAGGAGAAAGAGCCUGACAGAAUGGUUUUAUCUAGAUGGUCUGCUUCGGUGGAGGAACAGAUUAACAGUAAGGGGGAGAAAUCGACAGCUUCUUCAUCAUGUGCACAUGCCACUGAUGACAUUACUGAGGAUCUAUCGACUAAACCUGGGAUAAAGUGCAAGUUGGGUGAACUGUUGUAAACAAAAGAAAACUGUGAUGCAUCCAGUAGUGCUUAG